GACGAACUGUCCUAGCGUUGUUCGGAAUCACUGGGCUUAAAGGGCGCGUAGGCGGUCGAUCAAGUCAGGGGUGAAAUCCUGCAGCUUAACUGUAGAAGUGCCUUUGAUACUGGUCGUCUCGAGGGAGGUAGGGGUGUGUGGAACUUCCAGUGGAGCGGUGAAAUGCGUUGAUAUUGGAGGGAACGCCGGAGGCGAAAG
rnacentral:rRNA from 1 species